CAGUGCAACUGGGAGAACUUAGUUCAGGAACAAUUAGAUCUUGGGCAUAUUGAACCCUCCACCAGCCCUCACAACAUGCCUAUCUUUGUAAUCCUCAAGCAAAAAUGAGAAACAUAUGUUACUUCAAGAUUUAAGGCCAAUAAAUAAACAUAUGAAAAGGAUAGGUUCAUUUAUAUCAGGUAUUCCUCAUCCAGCCAGCAUCCCAAGCAACUAUUUUAUUGUUGCCAUAUAACUCAAGGAUUGCUUCCUUUCCAUACAUAUAGCACAUCAGGACAGACCCUUUUUUGCAUUUAC
rnacentral:sRNA from 1 species